rnacentral:rRNA from 1 species
UUUUCCUACGGGGGGCAGCAGUGGGGAAUAUUGCACAAUGGGGGAAACCCUGAUGCAGCGACGCCGCGUGAGUGAAGAAGUAUUUCGGUACGUAAAGCCCUAUCAGCAGGGAAGAAAAUGACGGUACCUGACUAAGAAGCCCCGGCUAACUACGUGCCAGCAGCCGCGGUAAUACAUAGGGAGCAAGCGUUAUCCGGAUUUAUUGGGUGUAAAGGGUGCGUAGACGGGAAAUUAAGUUAGUUGUGAAAUCCCUCGGCUUAACUGAGGAACUGCAACUAAAACUGGUUUUCUUGAGUACUGGAGAG